UGGAUUACACUUCAGUAUGUAGGAUUCGAUUAUAACUUUGAAGUGUCCUGACUUUGUAUCUGAAAACAUGUAUGGAUAUGCACUCAUGAGGGGCGAGAGGACAAAUGUCCUCCUGUGUGUCCUAUAAUUCAAGUGUACCCAUCCUCAGCCCCUCUCUGUUACUUCCUACAACCUCAAUAGAUCCCUCCAGAGUCCGCUAAGUGUUAGGCUGUAUUUGAAAAU
rnacentral:sRNA from 1 species